UUAGGAUGAACGCUAGCGACAGGCCUAACACAUGCAAGUCGAGGGGCAGCACAAGGAGCAAUCUGAGGUGGCGACCGGCGCACGGGUGAGUAACACGUAUGCAACCUGCCUGUAAGCGGGGAAUAACCCGUUGAAAGACGGACUAAUACCGCAUAAUACUAAAUUACUGCAUGGUAAUUUAUUUAAACAUUUAUGGCUUACAGAUGGGCAUGCGCAUGAUUAGCUAGUUGGAGAGGUAACGGCUCCCCAAGGCAACGAUCAUUAGGGGUUCUGAGAGGAAGGUCCCCCACACUGGUACUGAGACACGGACCAGACUCCUACGGGAGGCAGCAGUGAGGAAUAUUGGUCAAUGGACGAGAGUCUGAACCAGCCAAGUCGCGUGCAGGAAGAAUGUCCUAUGGAUUGUAAACUGCUUUUGCAGGGGAAUAAAGUGCAUCACGUGUGAUGUUUUGUAUGUACUCUGCGAAUAAGGAUCGGCUAACUCCGUGCCAGCAGCUGC
rnacentral:rRNA from 1 species